CCUACGGGGGGCUGCAGUGGGGAAUAUUGGACAAUGGGGGGAACCCUGAUCCAGCCAUGCCGCGUGUGUGAAGAAGGCCCUCGGGUUGUAAAGCACUUUCAGUGAGGAAGAACGCCUGGUGGUUAAUACCCAUCAGGAAAGACAUCACUCACAGAAGAAGCACCGGCUAACUCCGUGCCAGCAGCCGCGGUAAUACGGAGGGUGCGAGCGUUAAUCGGAAUUACUGGGCGUAAAGCGCGCGUAGGUGGCUUGAUAAGCCGGUUGUGAAAGCCCCGGGCUCAACCUGGGAACGGCAUCCGGAACUGUCAAGCUAGAGUGCAGGAGAGGAAGGUAGAAUUCCCGGGGUAGCGGUGAAAUGCGUAGAGAUCGGGAGGAAUACCAGUGGCGAAGGCGGCCUUCUGGACUGACACUGACACUGAGGUGCGAAAGCGUGGGUAGCAAACAGGAUUAGAUACCCUUGAGUC
rnacentral:rRNA from 1 species